CAGGAGAGCCAUCUGGAGAGAGGAGAGCUACAACAGCUUGCCUUUUUAUAAAGUCUACCACACUGACCUGUCCUUUUUGUCCUUUAACUUGUGGCAAAAUACUGUGCAAGCGCCUGCUUAAUGAUACAGUCUUUAAAUUUUCUCUCUCAUACAGGAGGUGAACUGUCUCUGUCAAACUCAGAGCCCUGAACUUGAAUGAAAACUGUCUUCAAGACUUACAGACACUUUAUGUGGAAAUUCAUCUUCAGGACACUUCACCACCGCUGAGUCCUGAAAGCUGCCCUCUGGCAACACUGAGCUGAUGAAGACUGAACCGAAGUGAGAGGAGGAGGAAGAGGAGGUGAGAGAGGAGGUGAGUCUUCUCUACUGGAGGUGGAAACUAACACCAGACACAUGCUGUGAGACUCUUGACAGCAUCUGCUGGGUGAAUUUUCUACCCUGGUGUUGGCAUCAUGUUUGUUGGGAAAGAGAAG